UGCAACCUCCCUGCCUGAUUCUCCUGCCUCA
rnacentral:piRNA from 1 species